UGGGGAAUUUUGCGCAAUGGGGGAAACCCUGACGCAGCAACGCCGCGUGGAGGAUGAAAUAUCUUGGUAUGUAAACUCCUUUCGAUGGGGAAGAUAAUGACGGUACCCAUAGAAGAAGCCCCGGCUAACUUCGUGCCAGCAGCCGCGGUAAUACGAGGGGGGCAAGCGUUGUUCGGAAUUAUUGGGCGUAAAGGGUGCGUAGGCGGUUUGACAAGUCAUCUGUGAAAUCUAUGGGCUCAACCCAUAGUCUGCAGGCGAAACUGUCGGGCUUGAGUAUUGGAGAGGUGAGUGGAAUUUCCGGUGUAGCGGUGAAAUGCGUAGAUAUCGGAAGGAACACCUGUGGCGAAAGCGGCUCACUGGACAAUAACUGACGCUGAUGCACGAAAGCUAGGGGAGCAAACAGG
rnacentral:rRNA from 1 species